UAUCCUUGACCCUUCCCAUUAACCACCUCAGGUGCCAUCCAAUACGCAGUUCCCUUACAAGAUUUAACGUCGUUCAAUUUUGUUGCCUUCGCCAAACCAAAAUCUGCGAGCUUCACAGAUCCAUUUUUAUCCACCAAUAUAUUAGCACAUUUAAUAUCCCUGUGAACCACAUUUCGCUCAUGAAGAUACUUUAAACCAGACAGAAUCUGCCUUGUGUAGGCAGAAACAAUGGAGUCCAUAAGGAUUGUCCUUUGAUAUAGACUCAUAAGGGAGCCCUGAGAUACAAGCUCGAGGAAGAUAUAGAGUUUUGACCCAUCCGAAUGCGUGCCGUAGUACUGAACUAUGUUCUCAUGCUCAAACUCACUUAGAAGAGCUAUCUCCUGCUGAAGUUGAUCGAUACUUUGUCUUCCCUGACUAUCAUCCUCGAGCAGUGAAACUUCUUUCAGUGCAAAGAACGUACCAUCCUCUGAAAUUGCUUCGUAUACUGAUCCAAA
rnacentral:misc_RNA from 1 species